UUGAGAGCUCACUGGCUUCGGAGUCAUAAGAACUCCGAAGUUAAGCGAGUUGAGGCCAGAGUAAUCCUAGGAUGGGUGACCCACUGGGAAGUUGCUCGUGAGUUCCUAAA
rnacentral:rRNA from 1 species